GAUGAACGCUGGCGGCGUGCCUAAUACAUGCAAGUCGAGCGAAUGGAUUAAGAGCUUGCUCUUAUGAAGUUAGCGGCGGACGGGUGAGUAACACGUGGGUAACCUGCCCAUAAGACUGGGAUAACUCCGGGAAACCGGGGCUAAUACCGGAUAACAUUUUGAACCGCAUGGUUCGAAAUUGAAAGGCGGCUUCGGCUGUCACUUAUGGAUGGACCCGCGUCGCAUUAGCUAGUUGGUGAGGUAACGGCUCACCAAGGCAACGAUGCGUAGCCGACCUGGGAGGGGGACCGGCCACACUGGGACUGAGACACGGCCCAGACUCCUACGGGAGGCAGCAGUAGGGAAUCUUCCGCAAUGGACGAAAGUCUGACGGAGCAACGCCGCGUGAGUGAUGAAGGCUUUCGGGUCGUAAAACUCUGUUGUUAGGGAAGAACAAGUGCUAGUUGAAUAAGCUGGCACCUUGACGGUACCUAACCAGAAAGCCACGGCUAACUACGCGCCAGCCGCCGCGGUAA
rnacentral:rRNA from 1 species